AUCUGGUAGAUAAACAGUGCCUUCACUACUCUACAGAGAGUCAAACUGCUCAUCUUUACAACAUACAUGAUAGGUGUAUAUAGAAUCUAAAAUCCAUUGCUGGAAAGAAGUAAAUGAAGGGAGGAAAACUAUUUCUCUUUAGAAGGCUCAGGUUGUAUCUAAAAUUUUUUUAUUAAUCUACAUAAAUAAGAAUCAAAUUCUUACCUGAUUAGCAAUGGAACAAGAGAUCAAAUCUAAAAUAAUCUGAUAUAAACCUUCAUGGAGGUCUGGAUGUACAGAUCCUCUACUUCGCAUGCACGC
rnacentral:lncRNA from 1 species